rnacentral:rRNA from 1 species
ACGACUCUCGGCAACGGAUAUCUCGGCUCUCGCAUCGAUGAAGAACGUAGCGAAAUGCGAUACUUGGUGUGAAUUGCAGAAUCCCGUGAACCAUCGAGUUUUUAACGCAAGUUGCGCCCUAGGCCAUCCGGCCGAGGGCACGCCUGCCUGGGCGUCACGUAC